GGGGAGCAGCAGGCGCGAAACCUUUACACUGCACGCCAGUGCGAUAAGGGAAUCCCAAGUGCGCAGGCAUAGAGCCUGCGCUUUUGUACACCGUAGGGAGGUGUACGAAUAAGGGCUGGGCAAGACCGGUGCCAGCCGCCGCGGUAAUACCGGCAGCCCGAGUGAUGGCCGAUCUUAUUGGGCCUAAAGCGUCCGUAGCUGGCCGCACAAGUCCAUCGGAAAAUCCACCCGCCCAACGGGUGGGCGUCCGGUGGAAACUGUGUGGCUUGGGACCGGAAGGCGCGACGGGUACGUCCGGGGUAGGAGUGAAAUCCCGUAAUCCUGGACGGACCGCCGAUGGCGAAAGCACGUCGCGAGGACGGGUCCGACAGUGAGGGACGAAAGCCAGGGUCUCGAACCGGAUUAGAUACCCGGGUAGUCCUGGCCGUAAACAAUGCCUGCUAGGUGUGGCUCCCGCUACGAGCGGGUGCUGUGCCGUAGGGAAGCCGCUAAGCAGGCCGCCUGGGAAGUACGUCCGCAAGGAUGAAACUCAAAGGAAUUGACGG
rnacentral:rRNA from 1 species